rnacentral:rRNA from 1 species
GACGAACGCUGGCGGCGUGCCUAAUACAUGCAAGUUGAGCGCUGAAGGUUGGUACUUGUACCAACUGGAUGAGCAGCGAACGGGUGAGUAACGCGUGGGGAAUCUGCCUUUGAGCGGGGGACAACAUUUGGAAACGAAUGCUAAUACCGCAUAAAAACUUUAAACACAAGUUUUAAGUUGGAAAGAUGCAAUUGCAUCACUCAAAGAUGAUCCCGCGUUGUAUUAGCUAGUUGGUGAGGUAAAGGCUCACCAAGGCGAUGAUACAUAGCCGACCUGAGAGGGUGAUCGGCCACAUUGGGACUGAGACACGGCCCAAACUCCUACGGGAGGCAGCAGUAGGGAAUCUUCGGCAAUGGACGAAAGUCUGACCGAGCAACGCCGCGUGAGUGAAGAAGGUUUUCGGAUCGUAAAACUCUGUUGGUAGAGAAGAACGUUGGUGAGAGUGGAAAGCUCAUCAAGUGACGGUAACUACCCAGAAAGGGACGGCUAACUACGUG